GAUGAACGCUGGCGGCGUGCCUAACACAUGCAAGUCGAACGAAGCACCUUACCUGAUUCUUCGGAUGAAAGUUUGGUGACUGAGUGGCGGACGGGUGAGUAACGCGUGGGUAACCUGCCCUGUACAGGGGGAUAACAGCUGUAAACGGCUGCUAAUACCGCAUAAGCGCACGAGGAGACAUCUCCUUGUGUGAAAAACUCCGGUGGUACAGGAUGGGCCCGCGUCUGAUUAGCUGGUUGGCAGGGUAACGGCCUACCAAGGCAACGAUCAGUAGCCGGUCUGAGAGGAUGAACGGCCACAUUGGAACUGAGACACGGUACAAACUCCUACGGGAGGCAGCAGUGGGGAAUAUUGCAAAAUGGGGGAAACACUGAUGCAGCAACGCCGCGUGAGUGAAGAAGUAUUUCGGUAUGUAAAGCUCUAUCAGCAGGGAAGAUAAUGACGGUACCUGACUAAGAAGCCCCGGCUAAAUACGUG
rnacentral:rRNA from 1 species